rnacentral:lncRNA from 1 species
GUCACUACUCUGGUAUCCGUGCCCCAGCAGCAGGGUGUCAUGGUAGGGGUUAUAUGGGUCUCCCAUUUCAUUCAGCUCGUCCUUCAUCUAGCAGUAUUCCAUCUCCUCCCAGAUCUCAGAACCCUUACUAUGCACCUUUGGUUUCUAGCGUGCCUCCUGCGCGGAUGCUUUCAGAGGUCAGUCUAGCAGGGGUAGAUCCAGUCAGUUACAGUCUCCGCGUCCUCCCAUAGCUUGUUUUGAGUGUAGGGACACCCGCCAUAUAGUGAGGGAUUGCCCUAGCUUUGGGAGGAAUGCACCUCCACAGCAUCCUCACCUGAGCAUGCCCAGCAGGAUUCUCAAGUUAUUGUUCCAGAUCCACCUGCCACCCCACCUGCCCAGCCAUCCAGGGGCGAAAAUCGGGGAGAUAGAGGUCGCCCU